UACGAAGGGGGCUAGCGUUGCUCGGAAUUACUGGGCGUAAAGCGCACGUAGGCGGCUUUCUAAGUCGGGGGUGAAAUCCUGGAGCUCAACUCCAGAACUGCCUUCGAUACUGGAAAGCUCGAGUCCGGGAGAGGUGAGUGGAACUGCGAGUGUAGAGGUGAAAUUCGUAGAUAUUCGGAAGGAACACCAGUGGCGAAGGCGGCAUCCUGGACUGGUCCUGACACUCAUGAGCGAAAGCGUGGGGAGCGAUCCGG
rnacentral:rRNA from 1 species